GGCGCAGAGACACAAGCAGACUCCUUCUCGACUGCGGAAGUUCUUGUGCUUGAACCCGGGAAUUAGCCGCUCCCACACGUACUGCAGAGAGGAAGAACAGGGAUGAGCACAGCUCAUGCAGUUCCAAUGGUCGCCAGAGGAGGGAGCACAGAACCCAUUUUGACACAACAUCCCUUUGCUUGAAGCGUGUGUGUGUGUGAGUGCAUGUUGGCGUGCUUGUCUCACCAUGGGCGAGGCCGUCUGCUCCAUACAGCGAAGGAUGAGCGUCUGGCUGUUCUCCCUAACCUGGUCCUUAGAGUCUCCAAGCCGGUCAACCAGCGCUGGCACCACUACAGGCAGCAAGACGACAGAGAGACGGACACCAGAGGGGGAAAUAACAGGAAGGGGGAAGAAAUAACAGGAAGUCAUUAAUGACAUGUUCUGUACAAUAAUACAUACAAAUAGUAUUACACAAUAAAACGGUCUCAGAGAUUAUAGACGCAUCGA